CCGGCGGACAGCGGUGCCGCCAAGACGGGUACGAGGCGCUGCGGCCCCGUUCGUCACGACGGCCACGAGCGGGCCAGAGACCGGAGCCGACCGACGGGAGCGGUCGCGGCGGUGCCCGUCCACCGGCGGUUGCAACGGGCGACAGGUAAAUCCAAAUCGCGGAACCCUCGGCUUCGUUGUCUUUUGCUUUAGCAAUAUGGUGAAUCGUGUUUGAGUUCUAGGUUUUGCGAGGUUAUUCACUAACUAAAUUGCCUAAAUAGCACAGAUCGUAUGCCAUACAUCCAGAGAAUGCACACAAACAGAUUUAACAGAGACUCCUACAGUCUAGUCCGAGUAGUAUGAAAUAAUUGUGGGAUCAGUCUCUCCCAAAAUAUCAUCCUUGGAUGCUUCCCUCAAAGAUAAUUAGCAGAAGAUAUAUGCUUACAAAUUGCAGUGAUUAUGGGCCAUAGAAGCAGGUCCAUCAAAAUAUACUCCCUCUGUCCUAAAAUAAGUGACGCAAAUUUAGUACUACGUUAGUACAAAUUUUGUACUAAAGCAGCGACACUUAUUUUGGAACGGAGGGAGUACAUGGUUCAGUCUCUCCCAGAAUACAAUCCUUAGAUGCAUCGAAGAUAAGUUGCAGAACAUAAAUGCUUACAAUGAUUGUGGACCAUGGAAGCAAGUCUAUGAUCUUAUUCUCGCCGAGUACCAGAUCUUAACAGUAAUCAGUACUGCUUUGCCUUCAGAUUCUGAAUAUAAUAAAGUUUAUGGUGAGCUUCAUGCAACAGCUUGUAGCAGUCUUGGCAUUGGGGGUACUUCAACUUCUAACAAACCCUCAAGGAUUUGAACCACUUCACCCAUGGUCGGUCGAUUGGAUUCGCCAUCUUGGAUACACCAGCAGGCUACCUUGCAGACCCUCUCAGCUUCAUCCAAGUUAACAUCACCAUGUAGCUUGUCAUCCAGCAAGCUCGUAACAUCUCCCUCGAGAAGUUUCCUUGCAACUUGAACCGGGAAAUAUGCUGAAUGAUCACUGGUGCUGCUAUUCUCCUUACAUGUAUUGUUGCUCUGACCCGAUACUAUUUCAAGCAACAUCAUACCGUAGCUGUAGACAUCCACUUUUGGUGUAAUGGCCACUCCACUGAUCCAUUCAGGUGCGAGAUAGCCUAUAGUUCCUCUAAAUGUAGUCAAGGCUCGGCUAAAAUCCCUCCCUAGAAAUUUGGCCAUACCAAAGUCUGCAACUUUAGGUAUGAAUGAGGCGUCAAGAAGUAUGUUCUGUGGCUUGAUAUCACAGUGUAUGAUGCAAUCCCUGCAACUCUCAUGCAAGUAUGUUAAUCCUCUUGCAAUUCCGAUGGCUAUUUGGUAACGGACAUUCCAACUUAGUAUCUUUGUAUUGCUGCGGAAGAGAUGUGCAUCGAGGGAAAUAUUUGGCAUGUAUUCAUACACAAGCAGUCUCAUACUGCCCUGGCAGCAAAAUCCAAUUAGUUUAACCAAAUUGAUGUGUUGGAUGAUCCCAAUUGAACUCACUUCGGCUCUGAAUUCCUUUUCUCCCUGACGGACACCAUCAAGCCUUUUCACCGCAAUAGUUGUAGAGUUAGUUAGUGACCCUUUGAAUACAGAUCCAAAGCUCCCUCCCCCUAGCUUCUCUGAGAAAUUUUUGGUUGCAUGUUGCAGAUCAAUGUAUCUGAAAGCCAUAAUUCCAUUGCCACCUUGUACAUUAUUGUACAUGCCGGUAGUCUGCUUCCUCUUGCUCCUCCAUAUCAGCAGAAACCACAUGACAACUGCCAACAAAACCAAAGCAACGAUGCUUGCAGCAGUAAUAGCCCAAAUAACCUCCUUCCCUCUCUUUGUAUUUCUCCAACUUUCUGCAUCCUUGGCAGAGAUGCGUAAGUAGAGAACCUCGUCAUCACUAGUGGUUCCAAUAUUAUCAUGUUUAAUGUUAAUCAAGUCAUCAUACCACAGGGAGCAUCGGUUGCCAUAGGAAUAUGCAAUGCAAGAGCAAUUAUCUAGGCAAGCUUGUGCGCAGUGGUCUAUGCUCCCAGCAGCUUCUAUAACUAUGGGCAUUGCAGGCAAUUUGACUCUUGUCAUGGGGUAGAACUUGUCAGUCGUUGCAUUUCUGCUUUGAUUCCUGGCACCGCAGUCCAGUGGCACAUUUCUUAUGCACCCGCCAGAUCGGUCCUCUAUCUCCCAAUCCUUAGGUGACCUUAUUGAGAAGCCCUUCAGGCAAUUACACACUUGGGUUGUGUUGCUGUUGCAGAUUGUGAAUGAUCCACAUGUAGCAUAGACAUCACAUUGAUCUCUAGGCUGGGUGAAGACUGUCACCCAAGCUUGUGAACUCUCAACCCAGACAAGUUGCUUUUCCUGUCCAGAAAUGUCCAAAAGGCUAACAGUUAUCAGCUUGUCAUCUGUUAAAUAUUUUAUGAAGUACUCCUCUUUUUUGUUGUUGACAAAUUCAAAGUUAAAAAGAUUGGGUCCACUCAUUUCUGGCAGCGAACUGAAGUAAUGACCAUUCCAUUCCCCACUAGACCAAUAUACUAUGGACGAAUUGCAUAGUUUGUAGAGGAAUUGGCCAGGACCAGCGGUAUCUAAUUCCACACAAUAACGGCCAGGAGCUGGAUCUAUCAAGCUCUUCUUGGAAACAAGGUGGCGGUUCAAACCGGUGACCUUAUCCACGCCUUGCUUUGCACCAGGGAGCAAACCAUCAGUAGGAUAAUCAAAGCUCUGCCAUAUGACGUUGGAUGAGUUAGAUGCAUCUCCUAAGAUGAGGUUCCCACUGUCCAGGAGCACAACUGCAGUGUUCUUGGAUGUGAUAUUAGCAUGGGUCGACCAAAUUAUCGAUUUGGUGACUUGAUUUAAGAUGACAAGGUUACCAUCAUCGGAGAUUGUGAGCUCCGAUAUCCUAUGAUCUACGAUCGGGCUGUCCCUAUUUGCAACCCAUACUGGGGUUAACUUGGGUAUCUUACCAAACCAUAGGCCUAGGUACCAGUGAACGGGAGUCUGUUGGGAGGAGUACUCACUGCCUGGUUGGAAGAAGCCAAGCACAUACUUGCCAUUGCGAGAGACGAGCUUGUCAUCGCCGGUGAGGCGAUCACCGGCUACAAUCGUGCUUCUUGCUGCAGAACAUGGAGCGUGGAGGGCAGAGAGGAGAAGUACGUAUAGGAUGGCAACAAGAAGCAUUGCGUUUGAAGGUUGGAUGCUGUACCAGGUCAUGCUUUAACAUCUGGAGGUGAAGGGUCUUAUAAUACAUGGUGGUGUGAUAUGAUGAUUGGUACUACUAGCAAAAGGGCCCGUGCGUUGCAACGGGAGAAAAAAUACCACGCGCUUUUAAUCUUUUUAUAAUCCUUUUGAUUUAUUAAAAUAAUAAGCUAACUAACUAAUGUAGUCAGUCCUAUCCUAUUUUGUUGAGAAAUCAACCCGUCCAUUGUUAAUUCCAUCAUGAUGAGAAAUUGAGCGGGACAAGCAAAGCAAAACAAAGAGGCUACGUGAAUUGAUCAAUGGACUGUUAUCUUAUUUCACUCAUGGGGUAGAUAAUGUGGGAUGAGAUGACAAACUGAAGGUGGUGUUCCAUUCUCUCUCUCUACAACCAUACAAUCUUACAUUCAAUACAUUCAUUCAUCAGCAAACAAAUUCUCACAAAACAAAAUUUCUUGUCGGUGCUUGGCACACGGUUGGAGGCAUGGGGAGGGGAUUUCACCAGAUGAUGAGUUCCUGCCGGAGGUGGGGAUACGAUGAGGGGGGCAAGGGUUAGGCGCCUCUAUCUGGCCAUAAGGAGUCGCCGUUGCCGCGCCAUAACCUCGGAGUUCCCCGUGUGAGCCAUGGAGGCCCGCCUUCACCUGCAAGUACUUCGCUCCGCCGCGCCUUAUCCGCGCGCCGCCGCCGUUCUGCAUCGAGCAGACACAUCAUCCCAAGUCGCUGUAGCUAUUGCGUUGAUUUGAUCCAGAAGCUGUGCUCGAGCGUCGAAACGGGGGAAGCAAGCGGGCAGAGGUACGACCGCGGAGGCGGGUGGGUUGAGAUCGACAGCAGUGGUGGCUGAGGUCGGCCUCGGCGGCGAGUGGUGUGGCAGCGGCCUGGGCACAUGCCAUGGUGGACCAGGGGUCGAAGAGAUGCGCUCGAGCGCCGCAAUGGGGGCAGUGAGCGGGGAGAGGUACAGUCGCGGAGGCGGGUGGGUUGAGAUCGGUAGCGGUUGAGGUCGGUCGCGGCGGCGAGUGGUGUGGCGGCGGCCUGGGCACAGGCCAGGGUGGCCCAGGGUCGACGGGAGGAGGCGAUGCGUACGAGUAUAAAUUUUUGCAGUGAAUCGUUUUUUCCUUUUGCGUUGCAGAUAAAUGAUGGAGCGCGGGUUGAAUAACAAAAAUUACAGGGGCUUUUUUAUAAAAAUACAGUGAUGGGUUUUCCGACGAAAGCAAUAGCCGCUUUAUUAUUAGGUAGAGACUUCUAUCAUCUCAGUGCUACUUCAUGGUGUUGGCUCUUUGGGCGGUGGACUAUAACUUGGACAUUGUGGCAAAGUUGGGUGGUUGUGGACUUGGACUGCCGACUGAUACAUCCAUUCUGAAAUCUGGAAGAGGAGGACGACGACAUGGAUGAAACGUAUCACGCAUGUCAUAUGAGCGGGCAAAGCAUAACCACAGGUGGUUGCAGGUAGAAUAUUCUACUGUGCUGCUCCGUGGUCAGGUUGGAUGCCAGGGAAAGCCCCUAUGACUGCUGUAUACACCAUAGAAUGGUCUAACUGGAAACAGUAUCUCCGCAGCAUAUAAGGACUUUUCACAUUGUCGACAGGAAGAGGUAUAGAAAUUUUGAGCUGACCACUUCCACAUAAAGAAUGAUGGUCUAUCAAAGAGGCCGGUCGGCUUAACUGCAACUAUAGUUGUUAUUGUGGUAUUGUUCACAAGUUAUCAUAUUCCCAUCAGGUAGACCAACAGCAUGCUGUAAAUCUUUGAAUAUAUAUUCCCUCUUUAUGCGUGAAAAGGUUGUUUAUUUUAAUAUAAGAGAUAUUGCUGGUAUAUCAAUCAUAUAAUGCAGUAAUUCACACGGUUAUUAUUUUGGUAUUGUUCACAAGUUAUCAAAUUUCCAUGAUCUUUUGUAGGGAGAAUAAUAACAUGUUAUAGUCCUUGAAUAUACAUUAUCUCCUUAUGCGAAAAAGAUUGUUUAUUUUUGUAUUGCCCACAAAUGAUCGUUUUUUCAUGAAGUUCUGCAGGGCAAUCAACUUCUGUAGUUGUUGUACCUGAUCAUUUCCAUAGUUAGGUCGGAGGAUAGUUUCUCUCACGAAAUUUCUCUGCGUAUGAUUUCUGUCCAACCCUGUUGUCCAAUGAUUCCCGUAUGAUGUAGUGAUUUGAUCCAAGGGUGAUUGAGCAAGUCGGACAAACAUCGAAAAUUGGUCGUGAGUGGAGCGCUGCUCAAGCACUGUCCUUCUUGCAAUGUGGAAGCGUUUCUGCACAUCUAGCUGCCCCUGGCCUCUAUGGCUACCCAGUAUCCACGUAUGUGUUUGUUGUUCUUGUUGGGAACAAGGGCUGGUCAUAUUGUACAUAUACAGAUCAAAUACAGAGCUCUCGUUGUGUUUAUAUGUGGUCGAUUAUUACGGUUUGUGGAUUGAUCUUUAUGUAGGCGCCAGACCAAUUUCUCUCGGAUUACACUAGGGGCUAGUUUGAUGUUGAUAUUCUAUGUUGGCUAUGGUUUCAAUGGUGGACCCUCACAAGAGCUUGGGUUGGUUUUGACAUCCCUUAUAAUGAUGCCGACACAGAUCUUUUCUACUCCACGACGAAUGUUACCAUGGGCGACGGCAACAAGCGAGUUUCAGGUUCGUGCCUUGGCUACAGGGGCAAAAGCUAAAGGACUUGGCUUCGGGUAUGUUCGUCCUUUCAAUGCGCAAGCACGUCUGUGUGGCAAAGGCUCCAACAAACAGUGAUUGGAUCCGCCGCAUUGACAUGCAGGGAGGCCUCUCUGUUGAUCACAUACAACAAUUUGUCAAUCUAUGGAGCAAGGUCCAGGAGAUUCAACUUACGGCUGUUGUGGGAGCAAUGUUUCCCGGGAGUAUGUAUUUUUCAGGAGAGUAAUCCUUAUGUAUCUUAUAUCCGGCCGG
rnacentral:lncRNA from 1 species